GAUAAGGGUAAGUGUUAGGGUACGGGUUAGUGUUAGUGUAUAUGUUAGGAAUAGGGUACGGGUUAGGGUAAGGCUUAGGGUUAGGGUUAGGGUUAGGGAACGGGUACAGUUUAGGGUACAGGUAAGGUACGACAACGGUUUAGGGUUAGCGUACGUGUUAGGGUAUGGGUUAGUGUUAGUGUACGGGUUAGG